rnacentral:rRNA from 1 species
CCAUCCUCCAAGGCUAAAUACUCCUGACUGACCGAUAGUGAACCAGUACCGUGAGGGAAAGGCGAAAAGAACCCCGGCGAGGGGAGUGAAAAAGAACCUGAAACCGUGUACGUACAAGCAGUGGGAGCACGCUUAGGCGUGUGACUGCGUACCUUUUGUAUAAUGGGUCAGCGACUUAUAUUCUGUAGCAAGGUUAACCGAAUAGGGGAGCCGAAGGGAAACCGAGUCUUAACUGGGCGUUAAGUUGCAGGGUAUAGACCCGAAACCCGGUGAUCUAGCCAUGGGCAGGUUGAAGGUUGGGUAACACUAACUGGAGGACCGAACCGACUAAUGUUGAAAAAUUAGCGGAUGACUUGUGGCUGGGGGUGAAAGGCCAAUCAAACCGGGAGAUAGCUGGUUCUCCCCGAAAGCUAUUUAGGUAGCGCCUCGUGAAUUCAUCUCCGGGGGUAGAGCACUGUUUCGGCAAGGGGGUCAUCCCGACUUACCAACCCGAUGCAAACUGCGAAUACCGGAGAAUGUUAUCACGGGAGACACACGGCGGGUGCUAACGUCCGUCGUGAAGAGGGAAACAACCCAGACCGCCAGCUAAGGUCCCAAAGUCAUGGUUAAGUGGGAAACGAUGUGGGAAGGCCCAGACAGCCAGGAUGUUGGCUUAGAAGCAGCCAUCAUUUAAAGAAAGCGUAAUAGCUCACUGGUCGAGUCGGCCUGCGCGGAAGAUGUAACGGGGCUAAACCAUGCACCGAAGCUGCGGCAGCGACGCUUAUGCGUUGUUGGGUAGGGGAGCGUUCUGUAAGCCUGCGAAGGUGUGCUGUGAGGCAUGCUGGAGGUAUCAGAAGUGCGAAUGCUGACAUAAGUAACGAUAAAGCGGGUGAAAAGCCCGCUCGCCGGAAGACCAAGGGUUCCUGUCCAACGUUAAUCGGGGCAGGGUGAGUCGACCCCUAAGGCGAGGCCGAAAGGCGUAGUCGAUGGGAAACAGGUUAAUAUUCCUGUACUUGGUGUUACUGCGAAGGGGGGACGGAGAAGGCUAUGUUGGCCGGGCGACGGUUGUCCCGGUUUAAGCGUGUAGGCUGGUUUUCCAGGCAAAUCCGGAAAAUCAAGGCUGAGGCGUGAUGACGAGGCACUACGGUGCUGAAGCAACAAAUGCCCUGCUUCCAGGAAAAGCCUCUAAGCAUCAGGUAACAUCAAAUCGUACCCCAAACCGACACAGGUGGUCAGGUAGAGAAUACCAAGGCGCUUGAGAGAACUCGGGUGAAGGAACUAGGCAAAAUGGUGCCGUAACUUCGGGAGAAGGCACGCUGAUAUGUAGGUGAAGUCCCUUGCGGAUGGAGCUGAAAUCAGUCGAAGAUACCAGCUGGCUGCAACUGUUUAUUAAAAACACAGCACUGUGCAAACACGAAAGUGGACGUAUACGGUGUGACGCCUGCCCGGUGCCGGAAGGUUAAUUGAUGGGGUCAGCGCAAGCGAAGCUCUUGAUCGAAGCCCCGGUAAACGGCGGCCGUAACUAUAACGGUCCUAAGGUAGCGAAAUUCCUUGUCGGGUAAGUUCCGACCUGCACGAAUGGCGUAAUGAUGGCCAGGCUGUCUCCACCCGAGACUCAGUGAAAUUGAACUCGCUGUGAAGAUGCAGUGUACCCGCGGCAAGACGGAAAGACCCCGUGAACCUUUACUAUAGCUUGACACUGAACAUUGAGCCUUGAUGUGUAGGAUAGGUGGGAGGCUUUGAAGUGUGGACGCCAGUCUGCAUGGAGCCGGCCUUGAAAUACCACCCUUUAAUGUUUGAUGUUCUAACGUGGACCCGUGAUCCGGGUUGCGGACAGUGUCUGGUGGGUAGUUUGACUGGGGCGGUCUCCUCCUAAAGAGUAACGGAGGAGCACGAAGGUUGGCUAAUCCUGGUCGGACAUCAGGAGGUUAGUGCAAUGGCAUAAGCCAGCUUGACUGCGAGCGUGACGGCGCGAGCAGGUGCGAAAGCAGGUCAUAGUGAUCCGGUGGUUCUGAAUGGAAGGGCCAUCGCUCAACGGAUAAAAGGUACUCCGGGGAUAACAGGCUGAUACCGCCCAAGAGUUCAUAUCGACGGCGGUGUUUGGCACCUCGAUGUCGGCUCAUCACAUCCUGGGGCUGAAGUAGGUCCCAAGGGUAUGGCUGUUCGCCAUUUAAAGUGGUACGCGAGCUGGGUUUAGAACGUCGUGAGACAGUUCGGUCCCUAUCUGCCGUGGGCGCUGGAGAACUGAGGGGGGCUGCUCCUAGUACGAGAGGACCGGAGUGGACGCAUCACUGGUGUUCGGGUUGUCAUGCCAAUGGCACUGCCCGGUAGCUAAAUGCGGAAGAGAUAAGUGCUGAAAGCAUCUAAGCACGAAACUUGCCCCGAGAUGAGUUCUCCCUGACCCUUUAAGGGUCCUGAAGGAACGUUGAAGACGACGACGUUGAUAGGCCGGGUGUGUAAGCGCAGCGAUGCGUUGAGCUAA